ACAGCGUGUUUCACUUAAUAGCUAGAGAAACGAAAAAAUUACAGCUAAAUAAUAUAAGAUUAAAACGGUUUUUCUUUUAGUAAGAUUAGGACCAAGUCGUACAAACUUUCCGUAACGAUUUACUGAACUAUCAUAACACUUACAGAUCUGUAAACUAGAUUUAGUGUUGCUUGAGCGUGCUGUAUUAUUUUAGAUUUACUGUAGUCCUAUAUAAACUA